rnacentral:rRNA from 1 species
AUACGUAGGGGGCGAGCGUUAUCCGGAUUUACUGGGCGUAAAGGGUGCGUAGGUGGUUUCUUAAGUCAGGAGUGAAAGGCUACGGCUCAACCAUAGUAAGCCUUGCGAACUGUGAGACUUGAGUGCAGAAGAGGGAAGUGGAAUUCCAUGUGUAGCGGUGAAAUGCGUAGAGAUAUGGAGGAACACCAGUGGCGAAGGCGGCUUUCUGGACUGUAACUGACACUGAGGCACGAAAGCGUGGGGAGC